rnacentral:rRNA from 1 species
CAAAGGUAGCGUAAUCACUUGUCUCCUAAAUAGAGACCAGCAUGAAAGGCCACAUGAGAAAGAAACUGUCUCUUGAAGAUACCCUAUGAAACUGAUCUGCCUGUGCAAAAGCAGACAUAAAACAACAAGACAAAAAGACCCUGUGAAACUUUAAAUUUUACGCCAAUCAAAUGGCGAAAUUUUUAGGUUGGGGCAACCAAAGAGAAACAAAACCUCUUAAAAAUAUCAGACAAACAAGUCAAAUUAAUAAACAUCGACCCAGUAAAACUGAUCAAUGGACCAAGCUACUCCAGGGAUAACAGCGCUAAAUUCUUGAAGAGUCCACAUCAACAAGAAUACUUACGACCUCGAUGUUGGAUCAGGAUAACCCAACAGUGCAAAAGCCGUUAAAGGUUCGUUUGUUCAACGAUUAAUAUCCU